rnacentral:rRNA from 1 species
CGCGUAGGUGGUAGUGCAAGUCUGAGGUGGAAUCCUAUGGCUUAACCAUAGAACUGCCUUGGAGACUGCAUUACUUGAGUCAGUGAGGGGAGGGUAGAAUUCCUGGUGUAGCGGUGAAAUGCGUAGAUAUCAGGAGGAAGGCCGGUGGCGAAGGCGGCCCUCUGGCGCUGAACUGACACUGAGGCGCGAAAGCGUGGGGAGCAAACAGGAUUAGAUACCCUGGUAGUCCACGCCCUAAACGGUGGGUACUAGGUGUAGGGCUCGUAAGGGUUCUGUGCCGAAGCGAAAGCAUUAAGUACCCCGCCUGGGGAGUGCGGCCGCAAGGUUGAA